rnacentral:tRNA from 1 species
GGGUUUGUAGCUCAGUGGUAGAGCACUAGCCUAGCAUGUGUGAGGCCCUGGGUUCAAUCCUCAGCACCA